GUGUAUACAUCUGCUAUAACCCAUGUGUAUAAUCUGCUAUAACCCAUGUGUAUAAUCUGCUAUAACCCAUGUGUAUAAUCUGCUAUAACCCAUGUUUAUACAUCUGGUGACAAACAGGUUAUUAGUUAGUCGACCUAUCAGCAUCCUACCAGUCAUCUCAAAGGUCAUUGAAACUGUAAACACCUUCCCAGGUGAUCCUGGUUCUCCAGGGGGAAUGUGCACAUGGAGUCAAAACCAGGGAUGUUGCUGGUGGUGAAGAAACUGAUAUUUUUCAGGUGGACCUGGUUAUAUCUUGGCCUGGUAGAAAAACCACAUGUUCCCCAAUGUCAACAAUAUGCCCAAACAGCAAACAUUACAUUAUUUUACAUCUUAUUUAGCUUACAGUUGCUACAUAUGUCAGAGGUUGCCCGCCUCUGGAGCAACUCGGUGUGCUUUGCUCAGGGACACAUUGGUUGAUGUAUCGCAGUGGGAAUAAAAACUGAAAUUCUAUUUUCCCCUUUUACAGGGGCACAAUAUGUGUGUAUGUGUAUAUGUGUGUGUGUAUAUGUGUGUGUGUGUGUGUGUGUG